AGGAGAGCGGAAGUGGCGUUGGUCUGGCCGGAGCCCUUGGGUGAAAUUGUUAGGCGUGGAGAGGGAGUGAUGUCUUCCAGACUCGGUGCUGUACCCGCCUAGCAGGACCCAGUGCUCUAUAAAGGAUAAUAGUUUCCAGUACACUAUCCCUCAUGAUGACUCCUUAAGUGGUUCAUCGUCUGCAUCUUCGUGUGAACCAGUGAGUGAUUUUCCAGCAUCUUUCCGAAAAUCUACCUACUGGAUGAAGAUGAGAAGAAUCAAGCCAGCUGCUACUUCGCAUGUCGAAGGGUCAGGUGGAGUAUCAGCCAAGGGGAAAAGGAAACCCAGGCAGGAAGAAGAUGAAGACUAUCGAGAAUUUCCUCAGAAGAAGCAUAAGCUUUAUGGGAGGAAGCAACGGCCUAAAACUCAGCCCAAUCCCAAAUCCCAGGCCCGUCGUAUUCGGAAGGAACCACCAGUUUAUGCAGCAGGCAGUUUGGAGGAGCAAUGGUACUUAGAAAUCGUUGAU
rnacentral:sRNA from 1 species